AACCGACAUCAGAGAUUCAUUUUGCGAGCCCUGACCGACCGCCAAAUAGGCGUUCAUGCCCAGAUCUUUCAUCUGUUGCUCGCCAAUCACGCGGGUGGUGACCGGUGAGAACUCAUCGGCCAAUUGGCGUGCAUGGGAAGCCAGAUAGGCUGGGUUACAAAUAUUCGGCGGCAUAUUGCCCAAAUCUUUGGC
rfam:Plesiomonas shigelloides 302-73 genomic scaffold scaffold00002, whole genome shotgun sequence.